UACGGGGGGGGCAAGCGUUGUUCGGAAUUACUGGGCGUAAAGGGCUCGUAGGUGGCCAACUAAGUCAGACGUGAAUUCCCUCGGCUUAACCGGGGAACUGCGUCUGAUACUGGAUGGCUUGAGUUCGGGAGAGGGAUGCGGAAUUCCAGGUGUAGCGGUGAAAUGCGUAGAUAUCUGGAGGAACACCGGUGGCGAAGGCGGCAUCCUGGACCGACACUGACACUGAGGAGCGAAAGCCAGGGGAGCAAACGGG
rnacentral:rRNA from 1 species